rnacentral:rRNA from 1 species
GACGAACGCUGGCGGCGUGCCUAAUACAUGCAAGUAGAACGCUGAAGGAGGAGCUUGCUCUUCUGGAUGAGUUGCGAACGGGUGAGUAACGCGUAGGUAACCUGCCUGGUAGCGGGGGAUAACUAUUGGAAACGAUAGCUAAUACCGCAUAAGAGUAGAUGUUGCAUGACAUUUACUUAAAAGGUGCAAUUGCAUCACUACCAGAUGGACCUGCGUUGUAUUAGCUAGUUGGUGGGGUAACGGCUUACCAAGGCGACGAUACAUAGCCGACCUGAGAGGGGGAUCGGCCACACUGGGACUGAGACACGGCCCAGACUCCUACGGGAGGCAGCAGUAGGGAAUCUUCGGCAAUGGACGGAAGUCUGACCGAGCAACGCCGCGUGAGUGAAGAAGGUUUUCGGAUCGUAAAGCUCUGUUGUAAGAGAAGAACGAGUGUGAGAGUGGAAAGUUCACACUGUGACGGUAUCUGACCAGAAAGGGACGGCUAACUACGUG